UAGGUCACACAUUCCAGGCUCUGACACAAC
rnacentral:piRNA from 1 species